CCUAAUUACGGUAGAAACCAUUAGGGAAGAAGUACAGCUCAGUACAGAAUUCAGCUUGAAUUCUCAAUACUGCAUUCAUAAAUAUAAAUUAUUAAGGGUCACAGCGUUGCUUACAUCUUGUUGGGUACUUUGCUUAGUUAGAUUUGCAAGAAACAGCUUUGUAACCAUCAUGCAUGAAGCUAGAAGUUACUUCAAAUAACACAAAAGUCUGAAAAAACACCUUGGAUGACAAUGAACUACAGCAUUACAAGUAACUUCUCUACUGCAGCUUUAAAACAUUCAACUUUCCUUGAAUGCAAGCUGCCAGGUGUGCUUCAACAUCUCUCUACUAUGCAAACAUGUGGUUAGAUAUAGCAGUUGAACAUCUUGCCUACUGCUAGAAGGCAAGUCUUUACAACAAAAAAUAGCUAAUUCGUUCUUUCAGCACAAAAACGAGCAUCACAGAGAGGAAUAGUACACUAUUCCAGCUGGGGAAGGCUAUGAAAGAAAUAAAGAAUGUAUCUCAGUAGAGGAAAAAUAAUAUCAUGUACAAAGAAAGAGACCGGGUUUGAAUAACAGCAGGGCAUAAAUGUCGUUGUGAAGUGGGGCAGGUUCUAGCAUCCUAGCUUCGAGCACAAGGAGGGAAGCUGUAGCACCGAGAACGAAACAGGGUACGGGAAGCACACACAGGCCACACGGCAGGAUGGAGACAGAGGAGAGCUGGAAUGGGACAACACGAAGAUAAGCACGGCAAUGCCAAGAAAAGGGGGAGCCAGACAAGCAAGAGACUGAUACACAGAGCAUUAGCAGGGGAUAACCCCAGAGCCCGCCUCAGGAUGAGUGGCAACAUGGAGGAAAGUGGGGGCGGAAAUUGGAGAAGAGAGAAAUGGAGGUGAGGUGGGAGCCCCUCGGGAGAGGCUGGCAGGCAGAGCAUGAGGAGCCACCCAAGCACCGGGGGGAGCGAGGGAGAAAUAAGACGGGCGGAACGGAGGACGAAGAAAAGGGAGAGGAGGAAGACAAGCUAGGACGGGCUGGGAACACCAGCGGCCCCGGGAGCGGUUGUGCCCGAGGGGGUGAAGAGGAAACGCUGUGAGAGGGCAGAAGCCGCCUGCGCUUUGCAUAACGAAACCGCAGCCCGGGGUUUCGCCCCACCUGGGACGCUGUUNNNNNNNNNNNNNNNNNNNNNNNNNNNNNNNNNNNNNGAUCCUUGCCCCUCUCCCCCUCCCCUUCCCCGGGGGCGGCGGCAGCGCUGCGGUCCGGCGGUCGGAUGACCCAGGCAGGAUCUCCGCCUCUGCUCUAAGCUGAACCUCGUUGCCAAAAGCUUCCCCUGUCUGAGGGGGGAGCUGGAAAACAUAACCUGAGCAUAGCUAGUAUACUGCUCUCUGGAGGCGAUGGCUCUCUGUAGCGUGUUGGCACCACGAUACCCUGCGUUUACAGCAUCCUCCUGGUGUUCUCUCCUGCGCUGGAAACGGGAGAAGGGCAGCUGGCUUGCCCCAGCGCAACAAGUAUGCGGCAGCUUUUGAAACAAACCCAAACGGCGCCUCUUUGGAGGAAAAACUAUCCCCUGCCCCAGUCUUUGGGCGUGUGAAAAGAGAGGGCUUCUAGCAGCUUUUACCAGCCAGCAGGCCAAGCCCGCUGUUGGGGCGCGAGUGGUUUCGUGCUGAGCCUUCCUGGCUUGUCUAGCUGGAGCCUGUGCUUUGUUUCAGUAGACGAUGAGAUUUAAUGACGUUAAAAUAUCAUUGUAGCCAAUACGACUUAACACAAAACUAACACAGCCUGUCGCUGUUUGCACCGGUGAGGCGUGUAGUUGUGCUGUGGGCAGGGC
rnacentral:lncRNA from 1 species